GACGUAGGGGGCCAGCGUUGUUCGGAAUUACUGGGUGUAAAGGGUUCGUAGGCGGUGCGGCAAGUCGGGAGUGAAAUCUCUGGGCUUAACCCAGAGGCUGCUUCCGAAACUGCUGUGCUUGAGUGUGGGAGAGGCGCGUGGAAUUGCAGGUGUAGCGGUGAAAUGCGUAGAUAUCGAGAGGAACACCUGCGGCGAAGGCGGCAUCCUGGACCGACAUUGACGCUGAUGAGCGAAAGCCAGGGGAGCAAACGGG
rnacentral:rRNA from 1 species